rnacentral:rRNA from 1 species
GGGGGCAACCCUGACGAAGCAAUGCCGCGUGAAUGAAGAAGGCCUUCGGGUUGUAAAGUUCUUUCGUGGGAGACGAAAAGGUGGGUGCUAAUAUCGCCUGCUGUUGACGUGAAUCCAAGAAGAAGCACCGGCUAACUCCGUGCCAGCAGCCGCGGUAAUACGGGGGGUGCGAGCGUUAAUCGGAAUCACUGGGCGUAAAGGGUGCGUAGGCGGUGCAUUAGGUCUGUCGUGAAAUCCCCGGGCUCAACCUGGGAAUGGCGGUGGAAACCGGUGUACUAGAGUAUGGGAGAGGGUGAUGGAAUUCCAGGUGUAGCGGUGAAAUGCGUAGAGAUCUGGAGGAACAUCAGUGGCGAAGGCGGUCACCUGGCCCAAUACUGACGCUGAGGCGCGAAAGCGUGGGGAGCAAACAGGAUUAGAUACCCUGGUAGUCCACGCCCUAAACGAUGGAUACUAGAUGUUUGGUGCCAAGCGUGCUGAGUGUCGUAGCUAACGUGAUAAGUAUCCCGCCUGGGAAGUACGGCCGCAAGGUUAAAACUCAAAUGAAUUGACGG